CAAAAAAAUUAGAAAAUCCCCACUUCUCUUUCAUUCUAGCAAAAAACGUCUACAGAAAAAAAGAAGAAGAAGAAAGAGCCAGCGACUUCCAUCUCCAAGAUCUCCAACAGUUCCUUCUCCGUUACCACUUUUGAAGGUCAUGAACGUCUUCAAUUCUGAACACCCCAAUCUCAUCUCGUCUUCCUGUCUGUUGUCGUGGACGAACCCUAACUCCACACCACCACUUUCGAUUCCCCGAAACUUGAACUCAUGGCCUCAUCUCUGCCAUUAGAAUGUAUCCUCUGCGCUUAUACAAAGUUGGGAAAACACCUAUUCAGAACAGGAGCAUGAAUUAUAGUUGUUUUUUUUAAUAUUCAGAUGGUUGAAGAAGCUGUUGAAGCUAUGGGGUCAUAGGUGAUUCAGAAAUCAAUUGACAAAAUGGAUUGCCAGUACAAUGUGUUGUGAAGAAGGAGAAAGAAGCUAAGAAGAUGAUGGAGAAGGAGGAUCUUGGGUGUAACUUUGAUGGCUUGAAUGAUCAGAUUAUAACGCCAUUGCGACUAAAGUUGACGGCUGAUAUUUAUGAGAAAGUGACUGAGAGAGUCGAAUAAAUUAGUCUUGUAUUUUGGUUUUUUGGCUACUGAAUAACAGAUGUAUAACUUGCUGGGUUUUUGGCUUUAGACGGAUUUAUUACUUUUCUGGUUUUUGGCUUUAGUCGGGUGUAUUAUUUUUCUGGUUUUUUGGCUUAUAAAUAAUGGAUGUAUAAAUUACUAGUUUUGGUUUAUGAAUGAUGGAUGUAUGACUUUUUUUUUUCAAA